ensembl:lncRNA
UCAGUCCAACAGGUAAUAGAUAAAAACUGUAUAGUACCUUAUACUUUCCAGAAAAAUUUACUGGGGAACCAUGUCUUGCACAAUUAAAAGCUGCAAGUGUGGCAUGCAAAACUGAGAUCAGGGCUAAAGGCUUUGAUUUGGAAACUCCCCUGGAAGCUGUCUUGAAAGCCCAGCAGUCAGCCAGGCAUGACCUCUGAGGCCACACCUUGUGGGAAGACUCAGUGUAGGGGAUAGGAGGAGCUGGAAGAAAAGCAGGGAAGACAGAAACAGAAUAUGUAAGAAAGCAGAAUAACAAAGAGAACCAGGAGAGCUGGAAGCCCAGGGAGGAUUUUUUUUUUUUUCAGUACUAGGGCCUUCAUACUGACUUAAUCACCAGCCUUUUCUAUUUUUAAUUUUGAGACAGGGUCUUGCCAAGUUGCCCAACCUGGGCCAGAACUUUGUCCUUCUACCUCAGCCUUCCACAGUACUAGAGGAUAAGGUUUUGAGAUGUGCAUGAUUUGGACUCUAGAUACCAGGCCUGAGAAGGAGGCCCAGGAGAUGCAAUGGAAACAGACAUCUUCUAGGAGCAGAGAGACAAGAAAGAGGACAGGAGAGGAGAUGAAAGGAGGGAAGUUAGUAGAGAAGAGGAGAGAGGAGUUUGAGGUGAUCGAGAGAGCAACUGGCAGAGGAGACUUAAGGACAACGUCGUGGAAGAAGUGGCAUCUGGAUGUUAGUGGAGUUUCUUCCUAACAUCCCUUCUUCAUAUCCUGUUCUCAUAAUACUCAGAAUUUUCCAAAGCAGAUGCCAAUCUCUGUCCUUGGGGUGGUAUUGGCAGCACUCCCACCAUCUCCCAGGAUAGGCUUUGAUUAUCUUGAGCCCCUGGCCUUGACUUAAGUGAUUGGCUCAGAUCUGGGCUGACAGCUCAAGGAGGCUCUGUUCCUGGAUUGAAGACUGAAAUUUGUGGGAAGCAGGUAGUCUCUGCCCACUGGAUAUGCACUAAGAAGAGAGAUCUUGGGAGCUACCAGGGCCAUCUUUGAAUCACGAAAGGUGCUUCCACCUCCAAGGCCUGGGAGCUGGAGCCCCAGAAGAAAAGAGAGAAAUGGGGUGUCAGAUCAGCUCACAGCCCAAAAUUAUCCAGUUACUGGAGCCAAUCAAUGUCCUCAUCUGUAAAAACCCACUUGAGCUAAGAUUCCUUAUACUUACAACCUCCAGGCAGAGGGAGAUCUGAGAGCAGAGGUCUGGCUUCAAAACAGGAUGGGUUGGAGAGUAGGACCUGAGCCAGAGCCCUGAAAGGAAGGGGAGAGUACCUGGGGUGGGAGCUGAGAGGCUGUAGACUAAUAGCUAACCUGCCAGGCUUUCCUCCUGUGCCAGGCAUUGUUCGAGAUGUUUACGUGCAUAAUUUCACUAAGUCCUCCUGAGGCUUUUGUGAGGUCAGCAGUGUUAUUAUUCCCAUUUUGUAGAGAAGUAACCAAAGCACAAGGGGCAGGGGCAGGUGGCUAGAAAACAUGCAGGUGGGACUCAACUCCAGGCAAGUGAACUCCACAGCCUGGCCACUGAGGCCACACUGGGCAUUGGCAGAGAAUUGGGGCAAUCAGGUGGCCAGUGAGACCAAAGGUCACUGAGAGGUGAGGGGGAUGAAGGCUGGGAAGACACUGGAUUUGAUGACCAAAGGUCACCAGAGGCCCUAGGGGUGGUGCUUCAGAGAAGGUUGGGGUGGAAGCCAAAUUGUAAGGUGUGAAUGGGAGCCAGGUCAGCAUGGGAACCAGGGAGUGGUGGGAGGCAGCUGGCGAAGACCCUCCAUCCUGUGCAUUCGUCUCAGAAAUGAGGGCAGCAGGUGUCAGCCACAGGAAUCAACACAGCAGGACGCAGCCUGAAAAAACGUCAGCGCCCCAAUCCCGAGUGGGAAAGAAUUCCGCAGACGAUCUUCCCGGCCAAGAUGCCUGGCAACAUUGAGUUGGUGAAGCCAUACAGCUAGGAACACCUGGCCAUGAAGGUUUCAUGUGACUAAGUGAAAUGAGGAUGCCAACUUCACAUGUGCAAAGGAGCAUCGAGGCAUCACACAUUCAAACAAACCUGUACCUUUUAUUCUGGUGUUAUAAAUAAGCAUACACAGUCAAGGAGGUCAAAGAACCCAUCAAAGCCAUUUAGCUUGUAAGCAAAGUUUAUACCUCAGUAAAAUGAGAUAACUGGAC